rnacentral:rRNA from 1 species
CUGGCUCAGGACGAACGCUGGCGGCGUGCUUAACACAUGCAAGUCGAACGAUGAAGCCUAGCUUGCUAGGUGGAUUAGUGGCGAACGGGUGAGUAAUACGUGAGUAACCUACCUUUAACUCUGGGAUAAGCCUGGGAAACUGGGUCUAAUACCGGAUACGACCAAUCUCCGCAUGGGGUGUUGGUGGAAAGCGUUAUGUAGUGGUUAUAGAUGGGCUCACGGCCUAUCAGCUUGUUGGUGAGGUAACGGCUCACCAAGGCGACGACGGGUAGCCGGCCUGAGAGGGUGACCGGCCACACUGGGACUGAGACACGGCCCAGACUCCUACGGGAGGCAGCAGUGGGGAAUAUUGCACAAUGGGCGCAAGCCUGAUGCAGCGACGCCGCGUGAGGGAUGACGGCCUUCGGGUUGUAAACCUCUGUUAGCAGGGAAGAAGAGAGAUUGACGGUACCUGCAGAGAAAGCGCCGGCUAACUACGUGCCAGCAGCCGCGGUAAUACGUAGGGCGCGAGCGUUGUCCGGAAUUAUUGGGCGUAAAGAGCUUGUAGGCGGUUUGUCGCGUCUGCUGUGAAAGGCCGGAGCUUAACUCCGUGUAUUGCAGUGGGUACGGGCAGACUAGAGUGCAGUAGGGGAGACUGGAAUUCCUGGUGUAGCGGUGGAAUGCGCAGAUAUCAGGAGGAACACCGAUGGCGAAGGCAGGUCUCUGGGCUGUAACUGACGCUGAGAAGCGAAAGCAUGGGGAGCGAACAGGAUUAGAUACCCUGGUAGUCCAUGCCGUAAACGUUGGGCACUAGGUGUGGGGGACAUUCCACGUUUUCCGCGCCGUAGCUAACGCAUUAAGUGCCCCGCCUGGGGAGUACGGCCGCAAGGCUAAAACUCAAAGGAAUUGACGGGGGC